CGAAAUGCGAUGUGUGGAACUAAGCGUACGACAAGUAGGGCGGGACACGAGAAAUCCUGUCUGAAUAUGGGGGGACCAUCCUCCAAGGCUAAAUACUCGUAAUCGACCGAUAGUGAACCAGUACCGUGAGGGAAAGGCGAAAAGAACCCCGGGAGGGGAGUGAAAUAGAUCCUGAAACCGUGUGCAUACAAACAGUAGGAGCGGACUUGUUCCGUGACUGCGUACCUUUUGUAUAAUGGGUCAGCGACUUACAUUCAGUGGCAAGGUUAACCAUAUAGGGAAGCCGUAGAGAAAUCGAGUCCGAAUAGGGCGUUCAGUCGCUGGGUGUAGACCCGAAACCAAGUGAUCUACUCAUGGCCAGGAUGAAGGUGCGGUAACACGCACUGGAGGUCCGAACCCACUAAUGUUGAAAAAUUAGGGGAUGAGCUGUGGGUAGGGGUGAAAGGCUAAACAAACUUGGAAAUAGCUGGUUCUCUCCGAAAACUAUUUAGGUAGUGCCUCAAGUAUCACCAUCGGGGGUAGAGCACUGUUAUGGCUAGGGGGUCAUCGCGACUUACCAAACCAUUGCAAACUCCGAAUACCGAUGAGUGCGAGCUUGGGAGACAGACGUCGGGUGCUAACGUCCGGCGUCAAGAGGGAAACAACCCAGACCGCCAGCUAAGGUCCCAAAGAUUGGCUAAGUGGAAAACGAAGUGGGAAGGCUAAAACAGUCAGGAUGUUGGCUUAGAAGCAGCCAUCAUUUAAAGAAAGCGUAAUAGCUCACUGAUCGAGUCGUCCUGCGCGGAAGAUGUAACGGGGCUAAGCCAGUCACCGAAGCUGCGGAUAUCUAGCAAUAGAUAUGGUAGGAGAGCGUUCUGUAAGCCUGCGAAGGUGUCUUGUAAAGGAUGCUGGAGGUAUCAGAAGUGCGAAUGCUGACAUGAGUAGCGAUAAUGGGGGUGAAAAGCCCCCACGCCGUAAGCCCAAGGUUUCCUGUUCAACGUUCAUCGGAGCAGGGUGAGUCGGCCCCUAAGGCGAGGCAGAGAUGCGUAGCUGAUGGGAAGCAGGUUAAUAUUCCUGCACCGUCGUAUGAUGCGAUGGGGGGACGGAUCGCGGAAGGUUGUCUGCCUGUUGGAAUAGGCAGUUUCUGGUUCAUAGAAGGCGCUUAGGCAAAUCCGGGCGCGGAAUUCAAGGGACUGGGACGAGUGAGCUUGCUCACGUAGCAAUCGGAAGUGGUUCCAAGAAAAGCCUCUAAGCUUCAGUCAUACGAGACCGUACCGCAAACCGACACAGGUGGGCGAGAUGAGUAUUCUAAGGCGCUUGAGAGAACUCGGGAGAAGGAACUCGGCAAAUUGGUACCGUAACUUCGGGAAAAGGUACGCCCUUGUAGUUUGACCACUUUACUGUGGAAGGAUGAACGGGUUGCAAUAAACUGGUGGCUGCGACUGUUUAAUAAAAACACAGCACUCUGCAAACACGAAAGUGGACGUAUAGGGUGUGACGCCUGCCCGGUGCUGGAAGAUUAAAUGAUGGGGUGCAAGCUCUUGAUUGAAGUCCCAGUAAACGGCGGCCGUAACUAUAACGGUCCUAAGGUAGCGAAAUUCCUUGUCGGGUAAGUUCCGACCUGCACGAAUGGCGUAACGAUGGCCACACUGUCUCCUCCCGAGACUCAGCGAAGUUGAAAUGUUUGUGAUGAUGCAAUCUACCCGCGGCUAGACGGAAAGACCCCAUGAACCUUUACUGUAGCUUUGCAUUGGACUUUGAAUCAAUCUGUGUAGGAUAGGUGGGAGGCUUUGAAGCGGUGACGCCAGUCAUCGUGGAGCCAACCUUGAAAUACCACCCUGGUUCAUUUGAGGUUCUAACCUUGGCCCGUUAUCCGGGUCGGGGACAGUGCAUGGUAGGCAGUUUGACUGGGGCGGUCUCCUCCUAAAGUGUAACGGAGGAGUUCGAAGGUACGCUAGGUACGGUCGGACAUCGUGCUAAUAGUGCAAUGGCAUAAGCGUGCUUAACUGCGAGACUGACAAGUCGAGCAGGUACGAAAGUAGGACAUAGUGAUCCGGUGGUUCUGUAUGGAAGGGCCAUCGCUCAACGGAUAAAAGGUACUCUGGGGAUAACAGGCUGAUUCCUCCCAAGAGUUCAUAUCGACGGGGGAGUUUGGCACCUCGAUGUCGGCUCAUCACAUCCUGGGGCUGUAGCCGGUCCCAAGGGUAUGGCUGUUCGCCAUUUAAAGUGGUACGUGAGCUGGGUUUAAAACGUCGUGAGACAGUUUGGUCCCUAUCUGCCGUGGGCGUUGGAAAUUUGAAGGGGGCUGCUCCUAGUACGAGAGGACCGGAGUGGACGAACCUCUGGUGUACCGGUUGUCACGCCAGUGGCAUUGCCGGGUAGCUAAGUUCGGAAGAGAUAACCGCUGAAAGCAUCUAAGCGGGAAACUUGCCUUGAGAUGAGAUUUCCCAGAGCCUUGAGCUCUUUGAAGGGUCGUUCGAGACCAGGACGUUGAUAGG
rnacentral:rRNA from 1 species